rnacentral:rRNA from 1 species
GAUCCUGGCUUAGGACGAACGCUGGCGGCACGCCUAACACAUGCAAGUCGAACGAGAGAGAGGGAGCUUGCUUCCUCAAUCGAGUGGCGAACGGGUGAGUAACGCGUGAGGAACCUGCCUCAAAGAGGGGGACAACAGUUGGAAACGACUGCUAAUACCGCAUAAGCCCACAGGUCGGCAUCGACCAGAGGGAAAAGGAGCAAUCCGCUUUGAGAUGGCCUCGCGUCCGAUUAGCUAGUUGGUG